ensembl:lncRNA
GGAAACUGCACAUUGGAUUUAAGUACAAAAACGGUAUGGAUGUGUGUUUGUUUGUUUGUUUUUUAGCACUUUAGACACGUUAAACGUUACUCGAUUCAGUCUGCCUGUCUGUGACGUCAUCAGUACGCAGCGGCAGCCGCGCGAAACUCUGAACAACAACAAAACACAGCGUGGAGGAGACGACUGCGAGCGAGACAUUUACAAACCAACUUAUGGAUCCAGCGCGUGGAAACAUUUUGGCUUUUGCAAACACGUCGGUCGCUGUUUGUAGAAUAUGUAGAAGCCAAAUAAAAAACCACGGAAACACGACGAAUCUUUCCGGCCAUCUACUAAGGCGCCGUGGGAUGAAACAACGCCGACAGUCAGGACCUCUAGCAGCGUCACCGCUGCAGCAGCAGCAGGUUGAGGUCACCCUCCACACAAAAGAAUAAAAACUACAAGUCCCAGACAGAAAGGUUGUACCUAAAGAAAUCAAAACAUAUAUGUGUUAUUUAUUUUAUUCAUCUAACUCUAAAUACUCCUGUGUUUUCAGAAACAUCAAUGCACACAAACUGAUCCAAUUAUGUUCACUGCAGAAAAACAGGAUAAUUCACAUGCAUUUUCGAAUGAAAACAAAACACAUAAAUAUCACAUGAACAUGUGACACUGAAGGACGGAUGGUUUGAGUUAAGGUGAGAAAAGGCACCUCUCUCUACAGUGCAUGCUCUCAUUGUUUCAUUGUUCUGACUGGCUUCUUUCAACCAAACGUGGUUCAUGGUGGCUCAAGUGUAAACUACAGUACAUUGCAGGAAGGAAGGGGGACCUGGCUGUGGGGGUUGGGAGCACGAUCCCAGACCAUAAAACCUGGCAGCCGCCCUCCUGCAUUGUUCGCCACCACCAUUCCGGCCCAGUUUCUCUGUUUUCUCCCUGGGCUCCGUGUAUCCUGUCCUUCAAGAGGCAGUAAAUGUUGUUGUUGUUCAUAAGACACACAUGGCCGAUGGAGCUGCUCGUCUGCCUUUGUUCCUUCGACGAAGGCAGGAAGAAGGUUGUGGCAGAAGAGCAGAUUAAUAACCUGGUUACACAGUUGGAGUCAGGAUUCAUAUGGGUCCAAUCAGAAACACAUCAGGUUACACGCAGCAUGUAUUAGAUUUAUAGAGAGCACAAUAAGAACAUACAAUUUCAGCCUUUCAGGUGGAUGCAAACAGAUCCAAAUCUCCUCUUCUAGCACCACCUUGUGGUGGACUGAACUGUCUUCUCUAGCUUCAAAAACAUUGGCUGCUGCAGUGUCUUAAAUCCCCAGAAACACACAGGAACUCAAACUGGAAAUGAUUCAUGCACCUUGUGCAAAACAAUGUGCAAAAAACAACAAAGCAACAAUUGUUUUGAAUAUGUUUUGAACGAGUAUAAAUUAGGUACAAAUAAAAAUGUAUGAAUAACAAAAAUAAUAGAACAUGUAAUCACAAAAUGAAAAUCCCUGCAGUGAAAAUUUCUAAUCACUACUUACUUUUUAAUGGAGACUUCCACUGAAUGUGACUUGAAAUAAGAACUGUUCACUUAACUUUUCUAUCGUGAAUGAAUUCCGGGUUCUGUACGUGACUGCAGCAGGAGGGAACAACUUUAGUGGAAUGCAGAUGCUUCUCUCUCUCACUCUAUCUAUGUGAUUUAAGGCUGUCAGGGAAGCCACGCAGCAGCGGCCCCAGACAGAAGGCCGGCCAUGACAAUGAAGCUGGAGCCCUGCAGGAACCGCUCCCUCUGCUGGCCAGGCACAGAGGGAACCCCAAAACCCUGCAAGACAACCUGACUCCAUCCUGUGUGGUACAAUUACAUCGCCCGAAACAUUACAGUUGGUUUCGGUGUCGCUGAAGUCAUCAGGGUCACCUCCCUCCAUAGUUGUUGGCUGGGCGCUUCCAGCUGAAAAAUGGAGCCUUUCUGGACUGGAGGCGUAUAUGAACAGAGAUAGCUUGACACCGCCAUUUGUUCGCCUCAGGAAAUGGCAGCCAAAUUCCUGGGAAAUGAAUGAAGAGGAAAUCUGCGAGUGGCAGCCUACCACGAGAUCGCUCUGAAAGGAGAGGGUGGAAAAGACAUGGCCCCUUUCUGCAACAUGGACCCGGGCCAGGGCUCACUAGAGCACCGAGAUGAAGAGUUACAGCACCUCUCAAACCCAACCGGCUGGAGUGAUAAAUACCCGGCUCUAAUGCACAUGCUUAAGAGUUUUUGACUGUAAAUAAAGUCAUGGGAGACAUGUUGUACUUACAUGGAGAAAAGCCUUGAGGAAAUGGCUUCCCCCCUUGAAAGCGACGAAUGGGUGUGUAUGUCUGCAGCCAAUCAGGAUGUAACUUCAUGAAGCCUGUUUUUUUAUCCCCGGUGGCCUCGUUGCUUUUUUUUUUUCCUCUUGCGUGUGAUAACGUCACUUAAUAUUUCUUAAUAUAUGAUCCAACCAUAUUUGACUCAUAUUAAUUAAAUCCUUUCUCAGAUGUUCAAUUUUUAAAAUAAAUGAACAAAGUCGUCUUUCUUUACUAUAAAAGAGGCAAAGGAAACUGUCAUGUGAGUAUUGUCAGAUGAUUGGGAGGACAGUAAAUAUAUAUAUACUGUGUAUAGUUAAUAUAGAGCUUUUAAUCAUGAUCAUCAAAGUAUCAUCCAUCUCUGUGUGCAAACACUGGUGACACCUUUAUUGCCUUUGAUGAUACAUUAUUCCUGUCAAAACGAGGUGAUAAUCAACUCAUUUCCACAGCACCUAUCGAUAUCGUAGACAAAUCUUUGUUCGAGCACCAUUUUAAAAAAACUGUUACAGUUAGACACCUCGAAAGGUAAUCAUAUUAUUAGUUUUGAACUAAAUAUGAGCUGCAAUGUGUGACAACGUAAUACAAAACCGACGGUUGAGAACAGUAGAGAGAAAAGACACAUUGUGCCCACAUUGUUAAAGCAAGUAACAUAAAUAACCUCUCAUGUGCCACUACGCACUACACCCUGCGGGCCCGACCGCUAUUUCAUUCUUCAGACUGAUAUCAAUAGUUGGCGAAAUGGGGACAACCACAUAUUACAGUCGGAAAUUCAACUUGUCAGUGCUCUCUGGUGGCCGAUGCAGCGGUGACACUGUUUUGUUUUGCAAUUUUGCGCUGCUUGUUGACCAACAUGUACACCGUUGCUGAUGUAUAAAUAUAUCAGUCGCAGAUAAAAAACAACAUGUUCUCAUUCAGCACAUAUGGACGUUUGGUCCGGAUGCCUUCGGUUUACAGCACUGGGAAUCCAGACAAAACAAGGCCUUCUUGGUUAAGUUUAGGCCACAAAACUGCUGGUUCUGUUUAAAAUAAGUAUGUUUGUAGGGUAAAGUACAGAAGACUAAACGUCAUAGACGUAAUCAUUUUGUCCACUUACCUUUAUUUUGUCUGUAUGUAUUUUUGUAAAGAACAGCUUCACUGUCACCAUUUAGGGAACCAUCAAGUGUUUCCAACAUGAAAGAUGGGGCACAAAAUAAACACACCUCCAUCUGUGGAAAACUGCAUCAAAGAAGUAAAGUUUUUGUGCACCGAUUGCCCUCUUUGUAUCACUUAAGCAGGAGGCAGGAGGCUGUUGCACUUGAAUCCGCCUUAUGCACAAUCAUUUUUGCCCUUUACUGUAAAGUACACAGCGGAUGUUUACGUGCUGAUCGAUCGCUAUGUGAUCUUUACCACAUGGCUGUGCAGUAACAAAAACACGAUAAAAUACUGCUGCUUACUUGUAAAGUUUCCCAAUAUACUUAAAACGCAACAUUUGAGAAUUUCCAAGCUGAACUUCCUGGCUCUUAUCGACUAUUUGGAUUAGCUCUCACUGGAGUGGAAACCUCCUUCACGCAGACCAUCAAGUGCUAAUUGGUUCGGAAUGGAGGGAAAGUAUCAAGGAACAGAUUCCAGAUGACACGCCAGUGAUGGAAACAUCCUUUAGGUAAAUGUAGCAGUCGGCUCCGGCGUGCCGCACCAUGCCUCAUCUGCGGGGGGGGACGUCUGAUGGAGCAAGCGGUGACGGCCAGCCGAAUCACAGGCUGCUCUUUGUGGUGUACUCUUUGAUUUAAUGGAGUGCACUGCGGCAAUUGGCGUUCCGUGUGAAAGUUAUCUGUCCCCGCCUGUAUGUGGGAAAGAAUCAGAAGCAGCGACCUCCCGGUGGGACGCAGUACAGAUGGAGCAAUUAAAGUCCAGCCACAACAAUUGCCUUUUUUUUUCUCCGAGGCAGACAUAUUGGAGUGUGAGUAGAAACAAUACAUCCAGUUUAGAAUAUUUUACUGGAGUUCAGUGAAAACAAAAUAACUAGCCACAGGAGGACGGAGCACGUGAGGCUGUGACUGAAAUAGCGAGCGAGUCUUUUGUGUCCAGGGAAUCUAUAUUUUACUGUUAAGAACUUUAUGAAAGAAAAGCUGUGUGUCUUUAUGCAACGUGUCUGCUGUUGUAUUUCAAACCUCUUAAAACAAUUCACAUUAGAUACAUUUCAACUUCAUACUCCCCAUUACUUCCCAUUACAAUAAAAGCCCACAUCAUGUACUGCGUGUUGCUUGUAUUAGGUCAUUUAUGCACUGCACGUUGGAAAGAAUGCAUGUUUCUCUCAUGUAUAAGACAUUAUUUUGAAGAGUAGACUAUCCCUGCACACCGCCCUCUAAUAGUCUUUCUCCUCUGCUCAGUGGGUGAGGGACAACAGUAGGAGGGAGUCGGAGGGAACUGUAUUUUCUCUCUCAUCAUGGGGUCGCUGUGCUCUGGAGGGGUCUGAAUCUGCGCUGAGGUUGAUGAUAUCAGGUUAUAAUUAAUACAGAAAUCAAAUUCCACCCACUUUGCACCCUCUCUGACUGGAUUACUUCUGUGUGGGUUAACGUCAUAUAGCGCUACCUUCUCCAUAUUACAUGUUUAACCUGUUUACUGUGCUUCACCCACUAAAAAUAGACACAGAUUCUUCCGGGAUACAGUCUUACAUCCUUUCGAAACCACCCUUACAAAGCUUACUUUUAGAUUUAACGCCUCUUACUCUAUUUAAAUAAAGCUAAUCUUCUCUUAAAUAAUAAAUAAAACAUAUCCUCAGAUUGCUAUUAGUCUGAUGUUUGCAUUGGAGGUGUGUUGCUGCAGCAGGAACACAGCUGGCUCACACAUCAGACACUCAGCACAUCAUCAGGUCACACAAAGAGGAACUAGUGGGCAGAAAAGCAGAGUAAGGUGCUUGGAUUAGAGUGCAGCUUCGGGACAUUUGGUCAGCAGCCUUUAUCAAAGACUCAAAGUUGUGGCUGAAUUUGUCCAGCGACUCUCUGCUGGGUCGGGGCCACCGUUCGGAUGAGCAUCCAAACUGGAAGCCUCAUUGGUGAUUUACAACAUUAGUCAGUACGUGAUUCUGUCUCGUAAUGUUCCCCAAUCAAACUUUAGUGUUGUUUUUUUUAGCUGAAAUCCAGCAGUGAGUUGUAUCCUCAAUGUUAUUUUUAUUUAUCUCACGUAAGAAGGUGUAUUUCGUCUCCUCGGGAAGAAACAUCUCCACCAUCAAAAUAAAAAUAUUUAGGACUAGUUAGACGUUAAGAAAAAUAGACCCUUGCUUUUGUAAAGAUUUUACAGAUUUACAGUAAGAUAAAAAAUAAUGACACCACUCUCUAAUAUGAAGCUAAAUAUGACGCUAACUACAGCCAGUUAACUGAACUUAGCAUAACAAAACCCCAGCGCAG